rnacentral:ncRNA from 1 species
ACCCCGUAAGCCGAAAAGGGGAACAAAGAGUAGGCA